rnacentral:snRNA from 1 species
GUGCUUGCUUUGUAGCAUAUAUACUAAAAUUGGAACGCUACAGAGAAGAUUAGCAUGGCCCCCACUCAAGGAUGACUCACAAAUUUGUUAAGCGUUCCAUAUUUUU